rnacentral:rRNA from 1 species
ACACACGUGCUACAAUGGCAUUUACAGAGGGAAGCGAGACAGUGAUGUGGAGCGGACCCCUUAAAGAAUGUCGUAGUCCGGAUUGGAGUCUGCAACUCGACUCCAUGAAGUCGGAAUCGCUAGUAAUCGCAGGUCAGAAUACUGCGGUGAAUACGUUCCCGGGCCUUGUACACACCGCCCGUCACACCAUGGGAGUGGGAUGCAAAAGAAGUAGUUAGUCUAACCUUCGGGAGGACGAUUACCACUUUGUGUUUCAUGACUGGGGUGAAGUCGUAACAAGGUAACC